ACCUCCACUAGCGGGCAAGCGGAAAUACGUCACCUCCACUAGCGGGCAAGCGGAAAUACGUCACCUCCACUUGAAUUUAUGAGAUGAAGGUGGCGUCGCCGGGAGCUCUUAGUUCGAACUUUAAUUCAGUUGCCAGAUGAUAUUCUCCAGAGGGUCUUUGUUGUUCUAGAAGACGGCUGCUCUGCAAUCCGGCUGGCUUUAACAAGACAGAGAUUCAGCAAACAUUGACAGCCAGGAGCAUUUUCAGCAGGAGGAACACUUCAGCUGGCCUUAUAGUGUAGUGAAUUGAAAUAGACUGUCAAAGAGACACCGGAGAAUGUACAGAAAACCGUAAAUCAUCUCUAGGUGCAGCCGCCUACAGUGCAGCAAGUUUUCAAAGACUAUGGGGCUGGCUUCUGGGGAAAUGAACAACGUGGAGUGCUUUUGGGGUUUUACUCCUCAGAUGACCACCCUGGCUACUGGGAUUGCUUCAUAGACAGAAUAGUUUGUGCAGGCACAAUGUGUCUUUACUUUAACACUUGUGGUCACUUAAAGUUCAUGUAUGUUGUUAAAAUAGCAUAAGAUGGUUUUUGUACUUACUCAAAAGCAAUUAAAAUUGGUAAAAUUGUGGAUUCUUCAUUAUUUCACUUUAGCUGAUUUGUAUAUGAGCAAUUCCUUGCAAAUGUUAAACUUAUCAUAUGUCAAUAUAUACAUGGUUUAAAUACCCAUGCAAUGUCUGUUAAAAGUUUUAAGCAUUUUCCCCCAUACUUUGAUAUUUUCAAAAAAAAUGUCAUAAUUGUCACGUCUGUAAAUCUUUUUAUUCCUCAUAAAUGUGCAUACA